AGAGUUUGAUCCUGGCUCAGGAUGAACGCUAGCUACAGGCUUAACACAUGCAAGUCGAGGGGCAGCAUUUUUCUAGCAAUAGAAGAGAUGGCGACCGGCGCACGGGUGAGUAACACGUAUCCAACCCGCCGAUAACUCCGGAAUAGCCUUUCGAAAGAAAGAUUAAUACCGGAUAGUAUACGAAUAUCGCAUGAUAUUUUUAUUAAAGAAUUUCGGUUAUCGAUGGGGAUGCGUUCCAUUAGUUUGUUGGCGGGGUAACGGCCCACCAAGACUACGAUGGAUAGGGGUUCUGAGAGGAAGGUCCCCCACAUUGGAACUGAGACACGGUCCAAACUCCUACGGGAGGCAGCAGUGAGGAAUAUUGGUCAAUGGGCGCGAGCCUGAACCAGCCAAGUAGCGUGAAGGAUGAAGGCUCUAUGGGUCGUAAACUUCUUUUAUAUGGGAAUAAAGUUUUCCACGUGUGGAAUUUUGUAUGUACCAUAUGAAUAAGGAUCGGCUAACUCCGUGCCAGCAGCCGCGGUAAUACGGAGGAUCCGAGCGUUAUCCGGAUUUAUUGGGUUUAAAGGGAGCGUAGGUGGAUUGUUAAGUCAGUUGUGAAAGUUUGCGGCUCAACCGUAAAAUUGCAGUUGAAACUGGGAGUCUUGAGUACAGUAGAGGUGGGCGGAAUUCGUGGUGUAGCGGUGAAAUGCUUAGAUAUCACGAAGAACUCCGAUUGCGAAGGCAGCUCACUAGACUGUUACUGACACUGAUGCUCGAAAGUGUGGGUAUCAAACAGGAUUAGAUACCCUGGUAGUCCACACAGUAAACGAUGAAUACUCGCUGUUUGCGAUAUACAGAAAGCGGGCAAGCGAAAACAUUA
rnacentral:rRNA from 1 species